rnacentral:rRNA from 1 species
GACGAACGCUGGCGGCGUGCCUAAUACAUGCAAGUCGAACGAGAGCAACCGGUGCUUGCACUGGUCAAUCUAGUGGCGAACGGGUGAGUAACACGUGGGUAACCUGCCCAUCAGAGGGGGAUAACAUCCGGAAACGGAUGCUAAAACCGCAUAGGUCUUCGAACCGCAUGGUUUGAAGAGGAAAAGAGGCGCAAGCUUCUGCUGGUGGAUGGACCCGCGGUGCAUUAGCUAGUUGGUGAGGUAACGGCUCACCAAGGCCGUGAUGCAUAGCCGACCUGAGAGGGUGAUCGGCCACAUUGGGACUGAGACACGGCCCAAACUCCUACGGGAGGCAGCAGUAGGGAAUCUUCCGCAAUGGACGCAAGUCUGACGGAGCAACGCCGCGUGAGUGAAGAAGGUUUUCGGAUCGUAAAACUCUGUUGCUAGAGAAGAACAAGUGCUAGAGUAACUGUUAGCGCCUUGACGGUAUCUAACCAGAAAGCCACGGCUAACUACGUG